CUGGCAGCCGGCAGCACCCUUCCUGCUUUGAUUCCUGUUUCAGGGUGCUGCACCUCAGCAUGGACAGCAAGGGAAGGUUCCACAGGCAUCUCUCACACACCUAGUAAAGCCUGCAGCCAGCCCCGCUGCCAUCGUGGGGCUCUGAGGCAACCUUGCCUGAAGUCAUUCCCCAGCCACUGGUUGGACUGACACUGGACUGAAAGCAGUGUUUUAUAUAACUGAGACAACGUAAAUCAAGAUUGUCAAGCCAAAACAAGAAAAAAGUCCCUAUGAG